AGUUAAUACAAGGCUCCAUAAUUUGUAAUUGUAAUACAUAAUAUAUUUAAUACAUAUACAAAACGUGAUGUUUACAACAACGGUACAAUAUUUAGCCGGAUUCAUUUAACUAACUACUGUGCAAAAAAAAAAAAAAAAAAAUUCCUCAGCUAUGUCUGAGCCACUGUGAUGUCACAAAGAAACGUAGAACUUUUAGAACGUUGCGCGUUUAAAGCCGAGCAACGCUCGUCACUUCACUCAUUUAGACUACUCAGUUUGUUGCUGCUCAAGUCUGAUUGAUACACAACAGAAAUUGAUCAUGGGACAGUGUUCUUCACGAGUAGAACCGUUAACGGAGAGCGAGCAGGUCUACGACCUCCCUCACAGUAAACCCCCAAAAUCCAGCCCCGACACGGCAGAGAAACAUCAUCCUCGUCAGCCUGAUGAGAAGCCUGUGGAUGAAGGGGAGGGAAAUGUGCUUCCCACCUCUCCUCCGAAAGAGGAGAACAAGAGGAAUCAAAAGAAAGUGGGCCACUUCUUUAAGUGGCUCUCUUCUCGUUUGAGGAAAAAAAUCCCCAAAAGCAAGAGCUCAGGUCAGGUUGAGAUGAAGGACCAAGGUACUGAGACGGAAACAUCCGGGAGAAUUGACGAUCAGAAGCCUCUACAGCCCAUCUCCAGAUCUGUAGAGGUCACUGAUCUGGAGGAACCUCAUACCAGUGUUCUUCAAGUCCCUCCUACUGCUGAGCCUCUGGUGCAGAAAGACCUCCAAACUCAAGUCCACGAUGCUCCAGUCAGUGUGAGAGCAGGUGAAGUGUCUCCUCUGAUGAUAGAGUUUGACAGUAAUGAAGUGGACAUGAGACCCGAAGACAACAUUUGCUGCCGAUAUGCAAUUGGCAGCAAGCUGGGUCAAGGUGGAUUUGGCGCUGUCUAUAAGGCGACUCGUUUGGAGGAUAGACUUAAGGUGGCAGUGAAAUUUGUCAAAAAGACAAAAAACACGGAAUAUAUCAGCAUUCCUGAUCAUCCCAAGCCCCUUCCCAAAGAAGUCGCCCUGACAAUUCUGGCCAAUAAAGGCCCAGUGAUGGAUAUUAUUAGGCUGCUGGACUGGCAGGACCAGCAGAACUUCUAUGUCAUUGUCGUCCAGCGCUUCUCACACUGCAUGGACGUUUUCCGUUUUGUGCAACGCAAUGGAGGCAGCAUCGACGAGAAGUUAGCGAGGCUCAUCAUGUUUGGGGCAACGCAAGCCGCCAGUGCAUGUUGUCGCCGUGGAGUUUACCAUGGGGACAUUAAAUUAGAGAACCUGCUGAUAAACUUGGAGUACAUCGAAGUCAAGCUAAUUGACUUUGGAUGUGGCAGUCUCCUGACAGAAUCUGCCUACACAAAAUUCAGUGGAACAGCUAUGUACUGCCCUCCCGAGUACAUACUGAAGGGCGAGUUCCAUGGAAAGCCAGCGACGGUCUGGUCUCUAGGGAUCCUCUUGUUCAGAAUGCUGUGUGGACACUUUCCAGAUAGCUUCGACUUCUACAGGACCAACAUGAACACCUGGUCCAAACCUGGCUUGACAGAAGUAUGCUGUCAUUUGAUCUGCUCCCUUCUGCAGCAAAAGCCAGAACGUCGGCUUGAUCUGGACAGGAUUGUUCACCAUGAAUGGUUUUAGGUGGCAGUAAAAUUUGUCAAAAAGUCGAAACGUGUGGAAAGUAUCAGCAUUUCUAAACAUCCCAAGGCCCUUCCCCAAAAAAGCUGACCUAACAAUCCUGGCCAGUAAAGGCCCAGUGAAGGACCAGCAGGACUUCUACAGUUCGUCACAGUCAUCCAGCGUUUCUCACACUGCAUGGAUGCGUUCCACUUUGUGUAACACAAACAGAGGCAGCAUUGAGCAUCCUCUUGUUCAGAAUGCUGUGUGGAUAUAUUCUAGAUGGUUUCAACAUCUUACAGGACCAACAUGAACACCUGGUCCAAACCUGGCUUGACAGAAGGCGAGUUCUUCUCCGCAAGUACA